CUUCUCUCCAGCUCCAGCCCGGGAAAGCAGGCAAUCACAUGGUGCGAGUCUUCCGAGAGAGGAGUCCACAGUCUUCUCCGGCUUAAUUGUGUUAAAGCUGAUUUCCUGAGCCAUGCUGAAAGUCUUUAGAAUUCUUUACAAGCCCUGGGAAAAUGGAAAAGACACCUGUCACCAAGAUGCUAGUCCUGCAGAUGAACUUCAUUUUUUGAGUCCUGAGCAUUACUCUUUUCUGUAAGAGGAAUGCAUAAGAGUAGUGGAAGGAAUCACAGGAUUGUUUAAGGAAAUAGAGAUGCUGAGCUGGAUUUGCAGUAUUUAUACUACUUCUAUAUAAUUGUAACAAUAGCGAUUGUAACAUAAUUUACACUGUCAGGAGAGAAAGAACUAGAGCUUCUUCUACUGGGAAUCAUAAACAAAUGAAUAAACAAACU